rnacentral:lncRNA from 1 species
AAUUUUAAUAUUGCAUGAUGACUCAGGAUGGGACGGCAGUAGAACAUAGGAGUUGGAUGAGUGUCCCAAUAUAAUCUGAGAGAGAUAGGGAAAGGGUAAAGAGGUAAAAAAAUUUUAAGAAAGAAAGAUUAGGACCUGCCCUGGUCGAGCAUCGCUCUCUGGGCUUAGUAGAGUGUGGUUGCCGGAGUAAAGGUCCCUGGUCGAGCAUUGCUCUCGGGGCGCCGGCUUAUUUGGAAAUUUAAGUGACCAGACUGGAGGUAAGGUCCCUGGUCGAGCUUUGCUCUCGGGGCGCCAGUCUUAUUGGAUUAAGAGAGCCGAAUGGCUACUAGAUUUCUUAUUUGGAUAUUUAAGUGACCAGACUGGAGGUAAGGUCCCUGGUCGAGCUUUGCUCUCGGGG